rnacentral:rRNA from 1 species
AGCGAACGCUGGCGGCAGGCCUAAUACAUGCAAGUCGAGCGCACCUUCGGGUGAGCGGCGGACGGGUGAGUAACGCGUGGGAACGUGCCCUUUGGUACGGGAUAACUGAGGGAAACUUCAGCUAAUACCGUAUGUGCCCUACGGGGGAAAGAUUUAUCGCCAUUGAAGCGGCCCGCGUUGGAUUAGCUAGUUGGUGAGGUAAAGGCUCACCAAGGCUACGAUCCAUAGCUGGUCUGAGAGGAUGAUCAGCCACACUGGGACUGAGACACGGCCCAGACUCCUACGGGAGGCAGCAGUAGGGAAUCUUGCGCAAUGGGCGAAAGCCUGACGCAGCCAUGCCGCGUGAAUGAUGAAGGUCUUAGGAUUGUAAAAUUCUUUCACCGGGGAAGAUAAUGACGGUACCCGGAGAAGAAGCCCCGGCUAACUUCGUGCCAGCAGCCGCAGUAACAC